rnacentral:rRNA from 1 species
CGGGGAAUAUACCCCACUAUGCCAAACCGUAAAAUUUAAUUUACACCAUAAACGCCAGGGAAAUACGAGCCUAGCUUAAAACCCAAAGGACUUGACGGUGUCCUAUCCAACUAGAGGAGCCUGUUCUAUAAUCGAUGAUCCACGAUACACCUAACCACUUUUUGUUAAUCAGCCUGUAUACCUCCGUCGCAAGCUUACCGUAUGAACAUACAACAGUAGGCCCAAAGACUUAAACGCCACAACGUCAGGUCAAGGUGCAGCUUAUAAAAUGGAAGAAAUGGGCUACAAUUUCUAAACUAGAACAAACGAAAAACUACAUGAAACAUAGUCAUGAAGGAGGAUUUAGCAGUAAGUAAGAAAUAGAGAGUUUUACUAAAUCUGGCCCUAGGACGUGUACACACCGCCCGGUCACCCUC